rnacentral:rRNA from 1 species
ACAGAGGGUGCAAACGUUGCUCGGAAUCACUGGGCGUAAAGGGCGUGUAGGCGGGAAGGAAAGUCAGAUGUGAAAUCCCCAGGCUCAACCUGGGAACUGCAUUUGAAACUCCCUUUCUUGAGUACCGGAGAGGAAAGUGGAAUUCCUGGUGUAGAGGUGAAAUUCGUAGAUAUCAGGAGGAACACCAGUGGCGAAGGCGGCUUUCUGGACGGUAACUGACGCUGAGACGCGAAAGCGUGGGGAGCAAACAGGA